UACGGAGGGGGGCUAGCGUUGUUCGGAAUUACUGGGCGUAAAGCGCGCGUAGGCGGACCUGCAAGUCGGGGGGUGAAAGCCCGAGGCUCAACCUCGGAACUGCCUUCGAUACUGCGGGUCUCGAGUCCGGGAGAGGUGAGUGGAAUUCCUAGUGUAGAGGUGAAAUUCGUAGAUAUUAGGAAGAACACCAGUGGCGAAGGCGGCUCACUGGCCCGGUACUGACGCUGAGGCGCGAAAAGCGUGGGGGAGCAAACAGG
rnacentral:rRNA from 1 species